rnacentral:rRNA from 1 species
GCUUACGGCCAUACCACCCUGAACACGCCGCCCGAUCUCGGAAGCUAAGCAGGGUCGGCCUGGUUAGUACUUGGAUGGGAGACCGCCUGGGAAUACCAGGUGCUGUAAGCU